rnacentral:rRNA from 1 species
AUUGAACGCUGGCGGCAUGCCUUACACAUGCAAGUCGAACGGCAGCACGGGUGCUUGCACCUGGUGGCGAGUGGCGAACGGGUGAGUAAUACAUCGGAACAUGUCCUGUAGUGGGGGAUAGCCCGGCGAAAGCCGGAUUAAUACCGCAUACGAUCUACGGAUGAAAGCGGGGGACCUUCGGGCCUCGCGCUAUAGGGUUGGCCGAUGGCUGAUUAGCUAGUUGGUGGGGUAAAGGCCUACCAAGGCGACGAUCAGUAGCUGGUCUGAGAGGACGACCAGCAAAACUGGGACUGAGACACGGCCCAGACUCCUACGGGAGGCAGCAGUGGGGAAUUUUGGACAAUGGGCGAAAGCCUGAUCCAGCAAUGCCGCGUGUGUGAAGAAGGCCUUCGGGUUGUAAAGCACUUUUGUCCGGAAAGAAAUCCUUGGCCCUAAUACGGUCGGGGGAUGACGGUACCGGAAGAAUAAGCACCGGCUAACUACGUG